CUGAGAGGAGGUUGGAGGUCGGUUUCCGGAAGGAAGAAGGGAGGGAUUCUGGGGGCAAGCCACAGAUGUCCUCAACGUGGGGGAGGCCCUCUGGCUGCUGGCUGUUCCCGAGGCACAUCCUGUCUUGCUGGUGCUGCUUCAUCCCUGGAAUGCCCCCAUGGGCCUAAUAGCUACCAUUUAUUGUGCUCCCAACACAUGCCAACCCUGCGCUCCUCAUUCAGCCUCAGAGCUGUACACAUCACCGCCCCUUCUAGGGACAGGCAAACAAGCUCUCAGAGAAGUCAGUUCUGGGGGUCAGAAGUCCAAAAUGAGGGGCGCC